CCUACGGGAGGCAGCAGUGAGGAAUAUUGCACAAUGGGCGCAAGCCUGAUGCAGCCAUGCCGCGUGUAUGAAGAAGGCCUUAGGGUUGUAAAGUACUUUCAGUUGGGAGGAAGGCGUUGAUGCUAAUAUCAUCGACGAUUGACGUUACCAACAGAAGAAGCACCGGCUAACUCCGUGCCAGCAGCCGCGGUAAUACGGAGGGUGCAAGCGUUAAUCGGAAUUACUGGGCGUAAAGCGCACGCAGGCGGUUGAUUAAGUUAGAUGUGAAAUCCCCGGGCUUAACCUGGGAAUGGCAUCUAAGACUGGUCAGCUAGAGUCUUGUAGAGGGGGGUAGAAUUCCAUGUGUAGCGGUGAAAUGCGUAGAGAUGUGGAGGAAUACCGGUGGCGAAGGCGGCCCCCUGGACAAAGACUGACGCUCAGGUGCGAAAGCGUGGGGAGCAAACAGGAUUAGAUACCCCCGUAGUC
rnacentral:rRNA from 1 species